rnacentral:rRNA from 1 species
GCUUUAUAGUCUUGCAAUUGGAAUGAGUAGAUUUUAAAUCUCUCUACGAGUAACAAUUGGAGGGCAAGUCUGGUGCCAGCAGCCGCGGUAAUUCCAGCUCCAAUAGCGUAUAUUAAAGUUGUUGCGGUUAAAAAGCUCGUAGUUGAAUUUCUGCCAAGGACGACCUACCCACCUUAGGGUGCGCGUCAGUGUUGACCGAGGCAUCCUCCUAGUGGCGUCCGUUCUUAAACGAGCGGUUCGUUCUAGGACUUUUA